rfam:Planctomyces sp. SH-PL62, complete genome.
GGGGGCGAACCAGGAUCGACCGGAUGUCCGAAGUGAACGGUGGCGUGCCGAGGUUGGUCAGCAGGCCUCGUAAAAAGCCGACCGAAAUUUAGCUGCCAACAACACUGUUGGUCUCCGUCUCGCUGCCUAAAAAACAGCAACGGCCCUGCGACGAGUCUUCUCCCGAGAGACCCGGCCAGGGACGCCAAUUCGGGAUCGCCUAGGCCAAACCGCUUGUUGAGGCCGAGGCUAAAUUCAUGACGAGCUAAGCCGAAAGGGAUCCUGCCGACCGGAGCCCUGACGCCGACAACUAAAUGACCGGCUACGCACGUAGAGGCCCUCGCCGACGCUUCUCGGGACGCGGGUGCAAUUCCCGCCGCCUCCACUA